rnacentral:lncRNA from 1 species
CGCAAGUGUGUCCGUGCAGCUGGAAUUUCAACCUGGAGCUGAGACCUCCAGAUGGACUCCUAGAAGGGUGACGUGUAAAGCUGCAUCCCUCAGCAGCCCACGAUCUUGGCAGGUUUGCCACUGUGACCAAUGUUUUAUUGAAGCUUCUGAGGCCGUAGAGCACAGGGAAGUUCCGAGCACACAGAGGACAAGCCAGGGCGGUGCUGUGUGGCCCAAAACAACCUUAAGUAGGAGACAUGAGUGGGGGACGGUUUCUGACACCUUGAUUCCUCAUGUCUGUGUUUCUGCAGUGUGGAGCAUUGUGAGUCUGUGUGGCAGCAACCACGAAGAAAGUGAUACAGACUUGGUGGCGGAGAGCACCGACUGCCGCCAGGAUGAGGAGGCUGCAGAAUCUUGCUUUGGGAGGAAAGGAUCUUGCUGCAGGAGUCUGAGGAUAUGUUUGUCCUCUGUGAGCUUGGCUAGAAUAAUCCCAUGGUGGCCACACAACAGAGUGCACCCUGCCACUGAGCCAGACGAAGAUACUGUGGAACCUGACUCAGUACAUUCAGGCAUGAACAAUGAUUCUAGUUCAUUCAGUGUUCCAAAUUUCAGAACAAACUCUACCAUGCUGCUGCAUGAUGCAAAUUCAAAUGAGUUAACUCGGAGUUCCCAUCAAGGCGCAGUGGUUAACGAAUCCGACUAGGAACCAUGAGGUUGCGAGUUCAAUCUCUGGCCUUGCUCGGUGGGUUAAGGAUCCGGGGUUGCCGUGAGCUGUGGUGUAAGUCGCAGAUGCGGUUCGGAUCCUGAGUUGCAGCGGCCGUGGCGUAGGCCAGCAGCUACAACUCUGAUUAGACCCUAUCCUGGGAACCUCCAUAUGCCAGGGGAAGCGGGCCUAGAAAAGGCAAAAUGACCAAAAACCAACUAACCAAACAAAAACCAAAUUGAAUAACUCGGUAAUUUCACAACCAUGGAAAUAAGGAUUCAUUUAAACUCAACAUUUGGUUCCUGGUUAAUAGCAAAGAUGACCUCACUCAUGUUUUGACAUUUGCUGCUAUUUGACGUUUCUAGUUGUACUAGAUCCCUCCAUGGGACCACAUUUCCCAAUUUGAAAAAAAUACUAGACGUGAUUUAGAACAAGAUCAUAAUAUUAACAAGACAUGGUGAGCAGAUAUUAGGGAAAGCUCCCCUAACCCAUUCCUCCAGUUUCCACCAUUGACAACGUCCAGCACUGAAUGGGGAACGUGUGGUACACUGAGCGGCAAAAGGUUCAUAUAAUUUUAAUUAAUGAAAAGUUCCCCGUUUACAUUCAGAUUCAUUUUUUGUGUUGUGACCUUAGUUGAGGUUGGACACACGCACAAUAUUAGGAGUCCCCAGGAUGUUACUAUAGAGAACGUGUACAUUCCCAUUUGUAGCAGCGGGUUAUUCCCGACAGCCAAAAGGUGAAACCAAUCCCAAGGGACAAGAAGAGAUCAGGGGAGAGAUCAAAUGCGAUAUGUACCCAGAAGAGAACAGUGUUGUACCAGAAACAAAAUUAAACUAUUAAAUAGGGUAUCACAUGGAAGAUCCAAAAUAAAACACUGUUUAACAUAAGUGAGGAGCUCCCA